rnacentral:misc_RNA from 1 species
AAACAAUCCAAUCAUACCAGCCAUGAUCACCAGAGGUACGAGGGGAUCUUGAUGCGAAUAAACAGCAUAGUCAUAGCAUAGGCAAUCACAAUCGCCGAAAUCCCGAAAGCAGCAAACGAGAUCCGGACAGUACGAUCCCUAUUGCGAUCAAGCGCCAGAUCCAUGAGCACAAUCCCGAGGCCGCCCAGCACAAACAUGAAGCCGGAAGACAAGCCCUCGAUGAUAUACUGGCCGUUGACACGACCAGGGAGGAAGACGACGGGGCGGACGGCGCCGGUGUUGUGGUCCUGGGUGCUGCCGAUGCCCG